AUGCAUUAGUAGGCUUUCUUUACAUUUUGUCUUAAUACAUGUUCCCUUGUAUUUUCUUUUUGUAUUUUCUGUAGGUAGCACCUUAUGAACGUCCUGUACUAAGCAAGACUUACCUUUUUCCUGAGUCCCCUGCUAGACUUCCUGGUUUCCAUGUUUGUGUUGGAAGUGGAAGAGAAAGAUUGCUUCCUGAGUGGUAUAAUGAAAAAGGUAUAGAGUUGAUUCUUAGCA